GGAAAGGAAUCUGUGUGGCCAGCAAGGCUGUUAACAGGGGGAAAUAUGGACCAAAGCAUCCUGUGCACUGACCAGCGGGAGCCAUGGAGACGUCUGUGUGAGCAGGAGCCCGUGCACAACCAAGGACUGGGAAAGCAGAUUGUCACAGAGCUGCAAUCUGCUUGGGAUGUCCUCCAGGCUCGUGGCACCUUGUGCUGCCCCACUUGAGUGCUCGUGGCUGAGCUCCAGCCGAGCCACUUGGAGGGAUGAGAAGCGGUGCACAACCUUCAUCCCCCACCCCUGACAGCCCCCCAGAGACCCCUUUGCCAUCAGCAGAGCCAGGACCAGCACCUUCUGAAAAGCAUUAAAGCAGCCAAGCUCAAUGGAGCCACAUUCCCAGACACAAAGGCUGGAAAACAUCCCUCUCCCACCAGCAUCUGACCAAGGAAUGCUGGAGAAAAAAGGAGAACUGGGCUUGUCCUAAAUCUCUCCCAACUCUGGCUUGUGUAGAAAGGCUGCUCUUCUUUCUCCAGAAAUCUGGACCUGCAAAACCUUUCCUGAACUGUGAGGGGAAACUUGGCAGUGAUCUGUGAGAAGUGCAGGGUGAACAGAUUGGCAUUUUCUAACCAUGUGUAGUUUGCAUUUGUGUGUAGCAAUGUGCAUAUAAAUGUGUAUUUUUAUGUAUAUGUAUAAAACAUACACAUAUAUAUAUA